GAUGAAUGCUGGCGGCGUGCCUAACACAUGCAAGUCGAGCGGCAGCGAGGGGUGCUUGCACCCUGUCGGCGAGCGGCGAACGGCUGAGUAACGCGUAGGAAUUUGCCCCAAAGUGAGGAAUAACUGCCCGAAAGGGUAGCUAAUGCCGCAUAUGGUCUUCGGAUUAAAGGAUUUAUCCGCUUUGGGAGAAGCCUGCGUUGGAUUAGGUUGUUGGUAGGGUAAUGGCCUACCAAGCCGACGAUCUAUAGCUGGUCUGAGAGGAUGAUCAGCCAGACUGGAACUGAGACACGGUCCAGACUCCUACGGGAGGCAGCAGUGAGGAAUCUUCCACAAUGGGCGAAAGCCUGAUGGAGCAACGCCGCGUGAAGGAUGAAGGCCUUCGGGUUGUAAACUUCUUUUAUGAGUGAAGAAUAUGACGGUAACUCAUGAAUAAGCACCGGCUAACUACGUG
rnacentral:rRNA from 1 species